rnacentral:rRNA from 1 species
AUUGAACGCUGGCGGCAUGCCUUACACAUGCAAGUCGAACGGUAACAGGUCUUCGGAUGCUGACGAGUGGCGAACGGGUGAGUAAUACAUCGGAACGUGCCCGAGAGUGGGGAUAACGAGGCGAAAGCUUUGCUAAUACCGCAUACGAUCUCAGGAUGAAAGCAGGGGACCGCAAGGCCUUGCGCUCACGGAGCGGCCGAUGGCAGAUUAGGUAGUUGGUGGGAUAAAAGCUUACCAAGCCGACGAUCGGUAGCUGGUCUGAGAGGACGACCAGCCACACUGGGACUGAGACACGGCCCAGACUCCUACGGGAGGCAGCAGCGGGGAAUGUUGGACAAUGGGCGCAAGCCUGAUCCAGCCAUGCCGCGUGCAGGAUGAAGGCCUUCGGGUUGUAAACUGCUUUUGUACGGAACGAAAAGACUCUGGUUAAUACCUGGGGUCCAUGACGGUACCGUAAGAAUAAGCACCGGCUAACUACGUGCCAGCAGCCGCGGUAAAAC